rnacentral:tRNA from 1 species
GAGGGUAUAUCUCAAGUGGUAGAGUGCAUGCUUAGCAUGCAUGAGGUCCUGGGUUCAAUUUCCUGUACUUCCU